UACGUAGGCAGCAAGCGUUGUUCGGAAUUACUGGGCGUAAAGCGUGCGCAGGCGGCUUCUCAAGUCAGGGGUGAAAGCCCAGAGCUCAACUCUGGAAUUGCCUUUGAGACUGAGUGGCUUGAGUACGAGAGAGGUGAGUGGAAUUCCCAGUGUAGAGGUGAAAUUCGUAGAUAUUGGGAAGAACACCGGUGGCGAAGGCGGCUCACUGGCUCGUAACUGACGCUCAUGCACGACAGCGUGGGGAUCAAACAGG
rnacentral:rRNA from 1 species